ACUUAAAUUGAAGAGUUUGAUCAUGGCUCAGAUUGAACGCUGGCGGCAGGCCUAACACAUGCAAGUCGAGCGGUAGCACAGAGAGCUUGCUCUCGGGUGACGAGCGGCGGACGGGUGAGUAAUGUCUGGGAAACUGCCUGAUGGAGGGGAUAACUACUGGAAACGGUAGCUAAUACCGCAUAA
rnacentral:rRNA from 1 species